rnacentral:rRNA from 1 species
AGUGAACGCUGGCGGUAGGCCUAACACAUGCAAGUCGAACGGCAGCACAGUAAGAGCUUGCUCUUACGGGUGGCGAGUGGCGGACGGGUGAGGAAUACAUCGGAAUCUACUUUUUCGUGGGGGAUAACGUAGGGAAGCUUACGCUAAUACCGCAUACGACCUACGGGUGAAAGCAGGGGAUCUUCGGACCUUGCGCGAUUGAAUGAGCCGAUGUCGGAUUAGCUAGUUGGCGGGGUAAAGGCCCACCAAGGCGACGAUCCGUAGCUGGUCUGAGAGGAUGAUCAGCCACACUGGAACUGAGACACGGUCCAGACUCCUACGGGAGGCAGCAGUGGGGAAUAUUGGACAAUGGGCGCAAGCCUGAUCCAGCCAUACCGCGUGGGAGAAGAAGGCCUUCGGGUUGUAAAGCCCUUUUGUUGGGAAAGAAAAGCAGCAGGUUAAUACCCCGCUGUUCUGACGGUACCCAAAGAAUAAGCACCGGCUAACUUCGUG